AUUGAACGCUGGCGGCAGGCCUAACACAUGCAAGUCGAGCGAGCGGCGGACGGGUGAGUAAUGCCUAGGAAUCUGCCUGGUAGUGGGGGAUAACGUCCGGAAACGGGCGCUAAUACCGCAUACCAUCGGAUGUGCCCAGAGUGGAUUAGCUAGUAGGGGGGGUAAAGGCUCACCUAGGCGACGAUCCCUAGCUGGUCUGAGAGGAUGAACAGCCACCCUGGAACUGGGACAAGGUCCCGACUCCCACGGGAGGCAGCAGGGGGGAAUAUUGCCCAAUGGGCGCAAGCCUGAUUCAGCCAUGCCGCGUGUAUGAAGAAGGCCUUCGGGUUGUAAAGUACUUUCAGCGGGGAGGCGUUACCCGCAGAAGAAGCACCGGCUAACUCCGUGCCAGCCGCCGCGGUAAUAC
rnacentral:rRNA from 1 species